rnacentral:rRNA from 1 species
GGUCAAAUCAUCAUGCCCUUUAUGUCUUGGGCAACACACGUGCUACAAUGGCUACAACAAAGUGAAGCUAAGCAGUGAUGCCAAGCCAACCACAAAAAAGUAGUCUCAGUUCGGAUUGCAGUCUGCAACUCGACUGCAUGAAGCUGGAAUCGCUAGUAAUCGCGGAUCAGCAUGCCGCGGUGAAUACGUUCCCGGGCCUU